rnacentral:rRNA from 1 species
GACGAACGCUGGCGGAGGGAGGAACACAGGCAAGUCGAACGGAAAGGCCCUGCUUUUGUGGGGUGCUCGAGUGGCGAACGGGUGAGUAACACGUGAGUAACCUGCCCUUGACUUUGGGAUAACUUCAGGAAACUGGGGCUAAUACCGGAUAGGAGCUCCUGCUGCAUGGUGGGGGUUGGAAAGUUUCGGCGGUUGGGGAUGGACUCGCGGCUUAUCAGCUUGUUGGUGGGGUAGUGGCUUACCAAGGCUUUGACGGGUAGCCGGCCUGAGAGGGUGACCGGCCACAUUGGGACUGAGAUACGGCCCAGACUCCUACGGGAGGCAGCAGUGGGGAAUAUUGCACAAUGGGCGGAAGCCUGAUGCAGCAACGCCGCGUGCGGGAUGACGGCCUUCGGGUUGUAAACCGCUUUCGCCUGUGACGAAGCGUGAGUGACGGUAAUGGGUAAAGAAGCACCGGCUACCUACGUG